CUUUGGGAUCCGGGUGUUCCUUUGGGGUUGAGGCUGUUGGGAUCCGGGUGUUCUUUUUGGGAUUGGGGUGUGGUUUAUGGGAUUUGGGUGUUGGGAUCCGGGGGUACUUUUGGGGUUGACAUUGUUGGGAUCUGGGUGUACUUUUGGGGUUGAGGUUGUUGGGAUCCGGGUGUUCUUUUGAGAUGGGGUGUGGUUUGUUGGGAUUUGAGUGUUGGGAUCUGGGUGUUGUUUUUGGGAUCCGGGUGUUCUGUUUGGGUUGAGGUUGUUGGGGUUUGGGUGUUGGGAUUUGGGUGUUCCAUUGGAAUCCGGGUGUUCCUUUGGGGUCCAGGUGUUGUUUUGGGAUCUGGGUGUGGUUUAUGGGAUUUGGGUGUUGGGAUCUGGGUGUUCUUUUGGGAUUCGGGUGUUCCUUUGGGGUUGAGGUUGUUGGGAUCCGGGUGUUCCUUUGGGAUUUGGGUGUUGGGGUUUGGGUGUUGUUUGUUGGGAUGUGGGUGCACACCGUGUUCACCAAGAAGGACGACAAGAAGGACAAGCGGAAGAGCCUGGAGCCCUGGAAGCUCUACGCCACCGUGGGCGGCCUGGUGGCCUUCGACGUGGUCACGCUGAGCGUGUGGCAGAUCGUGGANUGGGUGUGGUUUGUUGGGAUUUGGGUGUUCCCUUGGGAUCCGAGUGUUGUUUGUUAAGAUUUGGGUGUUUGGGGUCCGAGUGUUGUUUUUGGGAUCCGGGUUGGGUUGAGGUUGUUGGGAUUUGGGUGUUUCUUUGGGGUUCCGGUUGUUGGGAUCCGGGUGUGGUUUGUUGGGAUCCGGGUGUUCCUCUGGGAUUUUGGUGUUGGGAUUUGGGUGUUCCUUCAGGAUCUGGGUGUUCCUUUGGGGUCCAGGUGUUGUUUUGGGAUCCGGGUGUGGUUUGUUGGGAUUUGGGUGCUCCCUUGGGGUCCGAGUGUUGUUUUUGGGAUCCGGGUGUUCUGUUUGGGUUGAGGUUGUUGGGAUUUGGGUGUUGUUAAUCCGGGUGUUCCAUUGGGGUUGAGGUUGUUGGGAUCCGGGUGUUCCUUUGGGGUCCAGGUGUUCUUUUUGGGAUCUGGGUGUUGUUUUUUGGGAUUUGGGUGUUGGGAUUUGGGUGUUCCAUUGGGGUUGAGGUUGUUGGGAUCCGGGUGUUCCUUUGGGGUCCAGGUGUUGUUUUGGGAUCCGAUUGCAGAUUUUUGGGAUUUGGGUGUUGUUUGUUGGGGUUUGGGUGUUGGGAUCCGGUUGUUCCAUUGGGGUUGAGGUUGUUGGAUCUGAGUGUUCCUUUGGGAUCUGGGUGUGGUUUUUUGGGGUUUUGUUGUUGGGAUCCGGGUGUUCUUUUUGGGUUGAGGUUGUUGGGAUUUGGGUGUUGGGCUCUGGGUGUUCCUUUGGGAUCCGGGUGUUGUUUUUUGGGAUUUGGGUGUUGGGAUCUGAGUGUUGCUUUGGGAUCGGGUGUUCUUUUUGAGAUCUGGGUGUUGGGGUUUGGGUGUUGUUUGUUGGGAUGUGGGCGCACACCGUGUUCACCAAGAAGGACAAGCGGAAGGCGAGGACGGAACAGGCGGACGGGGGAUGGGGGUUCCUUUGGGAUCCGGGUGUUCUUUUUGGGAUCCGGGUGUGAUUUUUUGGGAUUUGGGUGUUGGGAUUUGGGUGUUGUUUGUUGGGAUUUGGGUGCACACCGUGUUCACCAAGAAGGACGACAAGAAGGACAAGCGGAA
rnacentral:lncRNA from 1 species